UACGUAGGGGGCGAGCGUUGUCCGGAUUUAUUGGGCGUAAAGAGCGUGUAGGCGGCCAGAUAGGUCUGCUGUGAAAACUCGAGGCUCAACCUCGAGAUGUCGGCGGAAACCAUUUGGCUAGAGUCCGGAAGAGGAAAGUGGAAUUCCUGGUGUAGCGGUGAAAUGCGCAGAUAUCAGGAAGAACACCGGUGGCGAAGGCGGCUCACUGGCUCAUUUCUGACGCUCAGGCGCGACAGCGUGGGGAUCAAACAGG
rnacentral:rRNA from 1 species